UAUCCAGAAUGUGGAACUGGUUCCGCAAUUAUAUGCGGAUUAAAAGGGAACACGGUGAGGAUGACCCAUUUCGGGGCCUAAUCCGUGGCUGCCCCCGCAACUGUAACCGGGAAGCGGUCUUCCACAUGCCACUGAAAGCGCACCGGCGCGAUUGGGAAGGCGGAAGAACCUGCAAUGAUCCGGAAGUCAGGAGACCUGCCAGAUCCGGUCACCAAGC
rnacentral:ncRNA from 2 species